rnacentral:lncRNA from 1 species
UAAAUGGAUAAUAAACAAAAAAUUCUUUGUCACAAUAUGAUAAGUAACCAAUCAUGUUGUUUACUUUUUUACUUUUUUUUUUACUUUCUUACAUGAUCCGAUAAAGAAGCAUGAAUAUCAUCAAUUGAGACUGACGUCCAAAUUAACUGCUGAAGUUGUAUAUCUCAUAUUCAGGUUGCAUUGUAUGCAUUUUAUUGCUCUGGUGAUCAUUUUCUUGCAGAUGCAUAUUCAUCACUUUCUCCUCAAAUAUCAUGGCUGGUCCAUGCUAACGGGGAAAUAUGGAAGCACAAAGAUAAUGAUGAGAUGCAUCCUGAAUUUGUUGCAAUUAUACGACAAGACCACUUUAAAUAAGGGGAAGGAAUCUGGAAAAGUUACAAUCAGGGCUCGUUGGAUUUGUUAACAAACGUGUUGAAGGUACUCCAAGCUAGCAUUGGUGAUAGUAUUAGCAUUCCUUACUUAUCCCUUGACCAAAUAGCACUCAAAUUUCCUGCUUGAGGCAUAAUUGCUCUUGUUGACGGUUUACAGAUAACACCUGGUAGAGGUAAUCCAUUUUGGGUUUGAUAGUCACUAGGAAGCUGAAGAAAUGGUGAAGGCUAAUGUCUCUUGUUUUUGUGUCACUUCUUAUUCUAGGUUUAUUAAAUUUUUUUUUCUCACAAUUUAGGGGACACAGCCAUGGGCUUUGUAUGAGGUGAGAUCCUUUUUCGCAAAAAACGAAUAGAGAAAUCCAUUUUUCCUUGAUAAAGUCUGAUUGUGUUUGGAUAGAGUAUUAUUUAAAUAUUAUUUGGAAUAAUUAUUAUAACACUUUUUAUGAUGUGAUGCAUGUGAGAUAAAAAUGUUAUUGGAAAUAAUUAGUGUUGUCUCUCUAAUUAUGAUAGUAACUUUGAUGCUAGCUGUGGUCAAUUAUUGAUAUCAUGUAUUCCAGUUAAACAUUUGCAAAAUUGCCAGGUAUUUAAAUGUUGAAUUUAGAGUUUCAAAUUUUAGUGUCCUUUUUCCCCCUCCCAUAGAUUGAAAUUAACUAAAUACUUUAUAUGUGAGAAACUACUUAUUACUGGCACUUGUGAUACUGAAAUCUUGAACGGUGGAACAGUAAUUGAUAAUUAAACUCUAUGCACAAAAGAAAGGAUGAUAUUCAUAAUAGGGAAAAGCCAACUACCAAACGAUGCAUAUAUGAAAGCGCAGAAACUCAAAACCAAAAUAAUGGGCAAAAAUUUUGAGUAACCUUCGUGUUUGUUGCACUAAGAUGUGAAGCAAAUGGCUAUUUGUUGUUACUCCGCAAAUGAUUAACAUGCUAGUUUGCUGAUCUCUAAUGAUGUAGAUGUACAGAUAUUGUGAUUCGCAUUGAUUUCAGCAUUGUCCACUUUAGCAGGGGCUUCGUGGAUAUUACACGAAUUGCAAAUCAAACAUAUACAACCAACGACGGAGCCCCCAUAAUUUUGUACAGCACCAUUAGCUAUUAGUAUUUUUUUUUACGCAUAUUCUAUUACUUUGCCUCCCCAAAAUUUUUCUCCAGAGUUAUUUUUUCCCCAAAAUUAAAAUUUCAAUUUAUGUAUGACUAGCAUAACAUAUCCAAUAAAGAAAUUAAAUAAAAGGAAACAAAGACCAAAAGAAUUUUAAUCACUAUUGCAAUCUAUUUAUACGAGAUUGACUUGAAUUAAGGGUUGAAACAUGAACUAAAUUACUUGAUACUCGAAUCAUGUGUGGAUCUAUAUGACGUUAUCAAAUAACUUUCCCAAUAAUCAAGUCAAAUACGAAUGGCAUUUUGUUUUUGGCUAGAGUUUGAAAAUUGGCUCAAACUUAAACUCAUUUAAUACUACAUCUCAAAUUUGUAGGUGAAAAAAUUCGAAGUACUGAAACAUGACUCGAAUUUGGUACAAUAAAAUGUUGUUUGAAUUUGGCUUAAUAGAUAAACAUGUCAAAUUUGAAAAUAAUUUUGUAAAGGCCUCAUGGUCCUUAAUCCUUUAGCUUUAAUAAUUAAUAGAACAAUGAUGAAUUGAUUAAUGAUUUAAUUGAGUUAAAUAAUAGAAUACAUUCAAAAGAAUAUGAGUGCAUCAUUGGAAGAGAAAAAAACGAGUCGAAAGUCGAAUAAUGACUGUCACACACAUCACACACAGGGGUUCAGAUGCCAUCCUUUGCUUUGGCCGUCCAAUAAGAAGAUAGUAGCACUGGACAAUUUUCGGAUGCAUGGUUUGGACGUGGAAUUUUGGUUCGGCCAUCCUAUCGAGGAUUGGACACGUGAAUCAAAGGCAGAGCUUUUGAAAUGGUGAAAUAGAAGGAGAGGAUGAUAUGAGACAAAUGGCAUUUAUGGCUAUUGGUAAUAAUAAGUUGAACUCUUUUACGAUUCAUAUGAUGCAGUAGAUGAUGAUUAUGGCGAAGAACCUUUUUUUUCUUCUCGAGUUUAUGAUGAAUUAAAAAAGGCUCAUACUAGAAAUAAAAACUUGAAAUUGAAAGUGACAAAGUUGAUAGAUGAAAACUCUAUGUUGGUCAAAGAGAAUAAGAAAUUGAUAUUUGAAAAUGAUGAUUUUAUAAAAAGCAAACUCAGUAUGGAUUCCAAGACAAACAAAAUUGAGAAGCUAAACAAAAAGUUAGAAGACAAGAUAAGAGUUUAUGAUAAAAUGAAAGAGGAACAACUUUUUAUGAGAAAAAUAAUUGAUGACUUAGUGCAUGUUUUGAGAAAUUCACAAAAGAAAAGGAUAAUUCAGAAAAGUUGUUGGAUAACCAAACAAUAGUAAAUGAUAAAAGUAGUAUUGGACAUGUGCCAAUAAAUAAUAAUGGAUAUAGAAAUUAUUUAUUAGAGCCACAUCCUCUAGUACUCCUAUUGUCACUUGCAAUUAUUGUUGUCAAAAUGAUCAUUUUUCUUAUAAUUACCAUGUUAAAAGAGGUGUACAAAAUGGUUUCAAAACCAUUUCCGUGAUUAAGAAAUCGACUAAUACUCAAGGACCUGAAAGGUUAUAAGUACCAAAAGCUAUAUCUUGCAUUUGAUGCAGGUGAAGAAGACAAUAAGAAGAUCCUAGUGAUUCUUGGAUAUUAGACCCUCAAGCCAUGCGCAUAAAGAUACUAAUGAAAUGAAAAGUGUGAAUGGGCUUGAAGAUCAAUUACCCUAUUGACGGUCUUUAUUGUGGGAAUCUUGGUUUUAUUAUGAUUUUAUGUCCUUGUGGAUUGCAUAUGAUUGCACUUAUCAGGAUAAUUUGUUAUUUGAUGAAAUGUGGCUUGUUGGAGUGUGUAGGCCUAUGCCCAAAUUGUGCAAAAAGGUCUUUCAAAAAUCUAGCAUUUAGAAUUUUCUUUUAAAUCAUAGGCUUUUAAAAUUAUGAAAUUUACUCCAAUUCCACACCUCAUUAUACUACAAGGUUUUAGCAAGUAAAGUGAGCAAGAUUUAGUCCACAAGACCCCAAACCAGCAGACUUAAAGGCCAAAGAAUAGCAAAGUAUAAAACUGCCCAACAUACCCGAAACUUCAGCAAUGAAACAAGUACAAACAUGAGGUUUUCACCUUUCAAAAUUCGUAGGUUUCACACAAGAUCAGCACACCAAAGUAUUAACUAGGGUUUGAAGCAACGUUUGGCCAAAACUCAUCAUAAUACGGUUGAAAAACAAGGUGUAACAUGGCCCUUCAAUUCGGCCAGCAAGCAUCGAGUUUGGCCUGUAUGCAAGACAGCUUAGGAAGAACCAAAAGAACACCAAUAAAACGUUUCCAAAUUAACUCAAAUUCAACAUAACAGCAAGGCUUACGAUUUUACCAAGAACCCUAAACAAAAAUUACCACAAAUACACCCCACAAUUAAAGGGAAACAAACUACUACAAUCCGGACAGCAUUUCCCAUGUUUUCCUUCAAUUUUCCACCAAAUCACAAAGUACAACCUCUUAGCAAAUCUACCACAAUCAAGACUAUAAUUUCCAGAUUAUAAAGGGUAGUAAUUCUAAGCCAUAAAGCUGUAAGAAACCCUCAAUUCCAAUCAUAAAACCAAGCUCAAAAUGGUUUAACAACUCCAACUUAAAGUUGGUAAUGGAAGCAAGAACAACUUUAGAAAACAAAAUUUUCUCCAGUUUUGCGUGACACUAUUUGAAAAAUUUAUAAACUUUAUACUAUUGGAAAAUAGACUCAAAGGGUUACAAUUUCCCAGAAGACACAUUUGCAAGAUUCAGUCCACAAGUCAAUCAAAUUUCAACCUCAAGUUGCUGCUUCAUCCAGUAGAAAGACAGAGCAGGUGUGGAAAUUCAGUCAACUUUAGAAAAUCACAGAUAUUCAUAGGAAUUGAGAAAAAUUCUGAAAUUUUCACGGUAUAAAGUAUUCUAAAUCUAGUUUCAAACGCAAUAAGCAAAACUCAAUUUGAAUUUUUCUACUCUAAGAUAUAAUAGAUUUCCCAAGACUGCUCAGAGUCACCUGCGGGAAAAUUUUUUUAACAACACUUGACUCAACCUUCCCAUUUAAACUCAUGAUUUUGGUUCUAAUCCAACUCACAAUCAAAGUUUAACGUCCAACAUAGUUUGUGGAGCAAGAUUUACCCCAAAAUUUCUUGAAAAUAAGGGCUAAUAGCACUCAAAAGUUUCAACCAUCAAGAAGCUUUCAAAACAGAAUUUUUUUCAACAAAAUCCAACCAAGAUUCAAGCUUUCCAAGAAAUAUACACACAAGCCACAUCAUCAAGCUUUAAGGCACCAAAAUCUACCACAAACAUUCAUCAUAAAAGUACAAGAAUGAACCUCAAGUCAUCUACCUAGCUUCCCAUGAAAACACAAGGAAUUUUCCUCAAGUCAUCUACCUAAAUCGAAGUUUCAAGGAAACCCAUCAAAGAUUCAAUUUUUUUAGCUACAAAUCUACUAGAAACUUGAAGGAAAAAGAGGGUUUCAAGCCAAUACCUCUCCUAGCAAUUUCAACGAAGCAACAAGCCCAAGUUUCCUCGAAGAGUUGCUCCGAAGCAAGACUUUCUUCCAAGCUCAAGCAAGAUUCCAAGAAUCAACCAAAGUUGGAGAAGAUUUGAAGCAAAAAUGGAGGAAAAAAGUUGAGCUUUUCUUCUUCUUUUUUUUAUCUAGCUCUCGGCCCUCUCUCUCUCCUUUCUUCUUGAUUUUGGUUGUUUUAUUUUUUUUUUAAGGCAAGAAAGGAAAGAUAAAAUGAUAAGAAAGCUUGAUCAAAGGUCUCACUUGAAGAUUUGAAGCAAAAAUGGAGGAAAAAAGUUGAGCUUUUCUUCUUCUUUUUUUUUUCUAGCUCUCGGCCCUCUCUCUCUCCUUUCUUCUUGAUUUUGGUUGUUUUAUUUUUUUUAAGGCAAGAAAGGAAAGAUUAAAUGAUAAGAAAGCUUGAUCAAAUGAUAAGAAAGCUUGAUCAAAGGUCUCACUUGGUUCCUAUGGUGACACUUGUCACCUUCUAGAGUUCUUUAGCUCCAAGUGUCCCAAUACUUGUCACCUUCUAAAACUCUCAACUUCAAGUGUCCCAAUUCUCUCUCUUAUUGCACUAAAGUCCUCCCUUUUUUUUUUCCAAAAGUUCCUUUUACACCCCACUAAAUAGAAAAUUUUCAUUUUACCCCGCACAUUAACUUUCACAUGUAAAAUUUAAUAACAGUAUUAAGGCAAAAUCAUCAUCAAAUUAAUAAAUAACCAAAUAGAUGACUUAAUAAAUAAAAUAUCAUGUAGUCAAACUAGAUAAAUUAGCAAAUUUCUAGGUUCUCACACCCUCUCUCCCUUAAAAGAAUUUCGUCCUUGAAAUUCUCACAGUUGCUCGUAAAACUCGAUUCUAUAGGGUUUUCUCCACUUCUCAAGAGUUCCCUCUCUUCCAUGAUGCUUACACAAUUGAAUUACUAAAUACAUACUACCCUUUCUAAUCGAAAGUCCUUCCUUCCUUACAAUCCACAAAUAAAAAUUCUUGUUCAAAACCAAGAAUAUAGUGCACAAAUUGAAUCAUGGAUAGGGGUUUAAUUCCAACCAAAGACAGAUGUUUAAUAUCACUAAUCAAAACAUUAGGCACUAAGUUCACUGUUUCUAACGGAGGUACAACUUAUAUAUAAAUCUCUCACUAUACAUAGUCUAAUAAAUACAGCUAUUUCAAGUAAAACAUCACUAAUUGCUAAUUUUAACUAUUAUAGCAGCUUCACCCUUGCGAAAUUCAUUUAUCUUGGAUAGUUCCUCACUUAAAUCUGAGACUUAGUUGCAGCAAUAGACUCAUGGAUAGGAGUUUAACGCCAACCAAAAAUAGACAUUUCAAAUUACUAAUGCAAACGUCAGGUUUCAAGUUCAAAGUUUAUAUCUGGAAUCCAACUUACUACGUAAAACUUUCGCUACAUAUAGUCCAAUAAAUAUAACUCUUCCAGAUAAAACAUCAUGAAGGGCUAACUUCAACUAAAAUAGCAGAUUUUCCAUAGUUUAAGUCAUUUAUUUCGGGCAGUCUCUCACUUGACAUCCAAAGUUGUUGCAUCUAUAAGGUACCAAUUUUCAACUCACACCUUCCAGUAUGAAGUUUUGUCAUAGAUUUCACAUUUAGAAGUUACAAAUCUCUUCUUAAUGUAUCUCUUCUUUCUUUGUAUCGUGGGAGUUUCCUUCAUCACUUUUAAUUUGGUUGCUAGGAAUGUUUGGGAGAGACAACUUGAGUAGGUGUAUGCACCAAUAAUUUUUUUUCGUACCUUAUUUCACAAUUCCUCUUGUUUCCUCUCGUAUUUUCCUCGUUUUUUCACGUUAUUGUUCAGUAACUCACUUUUGUUUCCAUUGUCCUUCCCAGUGGUCAGCUAGUUUUUUUGUAGAACUCUACCUCCUUCCGACAAACCUCUCUUUCCUCAUGUAUAUUUUUCAAAUUCUUCAUAUCACCACUUCACUUUAACUCAAAUGAAAACUUGCUAGGUAGACCAAAAGAUUGAUAGGAGUGGCUAAUCACAAGUUAAAACUCUAACCAUAUAUCUCUUAAGGUCUUUUACUUCCAAACUAGCCAUUAACUAGUCUCAACCAAGAUAAAUGAAAAGAGAAACGCAAGGAGGAAAAUACCUUAAGAUACUAUACCAAUUACUCCCAUUCUGGGGUCUUAUACACAUAAUGAAGCACUGAAUCAUACUCCUUAGAUCAUAAGUUCCAGACCUUAACUUACUCUCAUUUAUACACUCACUUACAAACUUGCUCAAGAAGAAAUCAUGACCCCUUACCCCUACUAGUACCUUUUACCAUCCUUCUUCAAGGCGGUCAUCCGAAUUCUGCCAAAAGUUACAUACAAGCAUAGAACCUGCAUCCUUGUCCCUAAAAUCUUCAUACAUAAUUCAUAAUUUAUAGAAAAAUAGAAAUCAAAACCAAGUUCCUAUGUGGCAUCGUAAAAAGGUAGGAAAUAUACAAGGGUAGUCAAACAAGAGUUAAAAUGAACUCAUAAGAAAUACAUAUGUAACUAUAAUCAGAUCACAACAAAAUUAAGGAAACACGGGACAAGGGUACAACAGGUAUAGGAGAAAUGAAACAGACCUGCAAUACUAGUACCUUAAACAUUCACGACGACUGCAAGCUAGCCAUCAUCUAUAGAAACCCUAGCUAGAUAUGUACAAGACUAGUCCAUGACGACACCCAUUGAUCCACUUUUCUUGAUCGGUUCAAUCUCAGGUCCAACACUAUAAUCCCUCACGUCUUCACCUUUGCCAUAACAAUUUAUCUCAAAGGCAGUCGUGAUGUUGACUCUCAUCCAAAUGCCCUCAACUCUUGGGUACUUGGGUACAAGAAUCCAAAAAUAGGGUAAUUCACAACUCGAGCUGGCCAGUCCCAAGAGUAAAUCACCUACAUUUGAAAUUCCUACCAGACGUAUAUAUCUAUCUUCCCCACGUAUCAUGAUAAAGGUUUUAUGCCUAUAACAUUCAUGAUCCAUAGCUUACGUUCAUGAAGAGCACUUAGUCCUUUACACCCAUUCACGCAAUCGGGACCAUAACACCACUCGACCCAAUCUCAACCUGUGCAGAGACAACGCGAGAUGGCUCUGAUACCACCUGUGACGAUCCCACCUCCCUCUAAGGCGAAUCAAAAAGGGUUAGCGGGCUGCUUGCCCAACUCUCACCAGGACUCAGUCACGCGCUACGAAAUUUUAGAACAAUAACAUCAAUAAUAAAAGUGAUAACAAAUACAACCUCUAAUGUGUAUAGUUAUGGGCCUCAAAUGCCCGUACAAUCUAUGAAUACAACCACGGAGUAAAUUUUACAAAAUCAAAACCACGCAAGCAAGCUAGAAAUUCUAAGAGGUUCUCACGCGAGCAACUAACAAACUUAGGUGAAAUCUAAGCCUUUUCCAAUUUCCACUCUCGCGUUCUCAUCCCUGUAAGAAAAACAAAUUCAUAAAAUGAGGUAAAAGCCCAGUGAAGUUCCAAGUAAACAGGCAAGUAAACUAACAGGCAUGAGACAAUUUAUAGGAUGUCAAGAAGCAAGUCAUAUCCAGAUAGAUCAUGGUCUAACAUACAGUAAUGCAGGUAAACCAGAUAGAUCAUGCAACAAAGUACAGUAAAAAAAACAUGUUCAUGGCAAAGGAUACAGAUUGCUCUUAGGAACAGGUUCCACGGCAGCUUGUCCAGGGUCGGUUGAAUGUCCGUCAACCAUGAAAUUAUAAUGUCCGUAGAUCACCACUAAACGUCAAUCUUUGUCCACCGAUCAUCCCCUUGUGAUGUGUGCACGAGUCUCGGCCCACGCAAUGACCCAGUCCGAGUUCCAUUGGGCCCAGUCACACGUGCACGGGCCAAGCUCUUCAAAGAAUCACUCCAAGCCCUGGUUCAAGUCGUCCAAGACCAACAUGGAGUUCACAAAGAUAUUGAGGGCUUAGAGAGAGACAAUCAAGCCAUUUGCACCAUGAUCCAAGCCCACGAAAACUCAAGUGGGCCUUCAAGAGGACCGGCCCUAUAGGGCCUUAGCCUUAGUAUUUGAUAGAUUGGAUUAAUUUGUCUUCAUAGCUCAUUGGGCCGGCCCAUCUUGGACACCAAGAUGGCCGAACUCUUUGCCAUUGUUUCCUUAGGUUUUCUUAGUCACUUUAGCCUAUAAAUAGGCUUGCUUUGUAAGGUUUUAGGGUAGUCGUUUUAUCAAUAAAAUUGGUUUAAUUCGUUCCUUCUUCUAAGAAGAGAGUUCGAGCACUUUAACUUGCUUUGGCAAGGGUUAUUGAGCAAUCUUGCGUCCUGUCCUCGAUUGUUCAUCCGACCUAUUCCCCUGGAGUAUUCACCUUCAUCGGAGUGUCGUCUACCACCUAAAUCAAAUCGUGUCGUCCGUUUGAUUCUAGGUCCCGCAAUCCAAGCGUUGGACAACCUUGCUAGAUCCUUGGGCAAACGUGCUACGUGUCUCGAAACAAGUUGAUCGAGGAACGUAUCAGUUGGCUUCAGAGCUUUGGUGGAGGUAUCUUCCGUUAUAUCCGUAGUUUGUCUUAGUUUUCCUUAUUUCCGCUGCACUUGUCUCAAAAAAAAAAAAAACUCAAGUGCAAUGAAGGAACAAUGGUCCGAGAAGGAUAGAGUGGGAAAAGACAAGAAUAAUUUGGUCUUAGUGAAGAGUAAAAAGGAGGAGUUGGCCGUGUUUGCAAAGGCUGAAAAUGUGAACAUUUUGUUUGCUAACCGGCUAACGUGUGUUUUGUUUAUUACCUCUUCUUUUGUGCAGCUUAAACAAAGUCAAGUAGUGGUUGGUCAUGCAUGUUCCAUUCCCAAGUCACUUGGACACUUUGUGAAUUUCCGUGGGGUUUGUCUUCUUGGAACUAAAUCUCUCUGGUAUCAAUUCAUGAAACAAUGUCCAUUCAAACCUGUCCAUACCAUUGAAGGGUUCAUUCAAGCUCAUCUUAAAAGGGAAUUUCCAGAUUCUACUGCUUGUUCUCUAUCUAUGGUUCAUUCAUCACCUUUGCCUUAUUUUGAGCAUGUUACUAGCACUAACUCUUGUUGCUCUUAUGUAGGUGUUGAUGAGAAGUGUAAAGGACUAGCACUGGAAUCUCAAGUUGAAUCAAUUGGUGGAAGGAAUAUUGAAGUGUCAAAGGGAGUUUUCUCAUUUAAAUCUUGUUCUACACCUUCUUACCAUUUAGUUAAUAAUGUCUCAUUCUUUCUUUAUCCGAUUUCUGAAUUGUUUCAAGUUGAAGGUUAUUUUGUGUUUGUAGGUUGUAAAGCUGUCCAAAAUUUUCCAACUAUGACUAAAGAGUUGCAACCUGAUUUCCUGCUUGUUCCAGCUGCAUGUUGCGCGAAUGCAUGUGAUUCGCAUAGAGUGAACUUCACUUCAUUACCGCCGCUUAUGUUGGGUGAUGCACACAAGUGUGUCAAUCAAGAUCCGAAUGCUAUCCUUACCUCACUGGCUCAUGCUUCUGUGGAUGAACAACAUGAUUGGUUCAAUGUUCUACCUACAAAUGCGACAGCCGUGCCAAACCAGCGACAACCAAGGAUGAGUCAUGCCACCUUGAACAACCAGAUUCAGAAUUUCUCUAGCUUCCAUGAGGAUCAUUAUUACGAGCCUUACCUUGUGCAUGAGAAGGAUAAGUUGUGGCCCUAUUAUACACCUAUGACCACUACCUAUGAGAUUUAUUGUAUAGGUGAUAAUAUGACAAUCGAUGCCCAAAAGCUGAUUAGAGAGCUUUGGAUUGCUACCUGGAUUUUUCACAAGCUCUUUCCUAUCUUGGCGCAUGUCAUUGUUUGAGAGCCUCAUGAAACUGACCAAACGACAUUUAACUUGGCUCGUGACCUUUCAUUUGUUCCUAACGUGGCUGACCUCCAAGCGCACUAUCGAUUUGAGGUGUCAUACUACUAACUCUUGUUAGUAUCAUUCAUCCCCAUCUAGAUUGAGGACAAAUCCUUCUCAAGAGGAGGGGACUGAUGUGUGCACGGGUGGCGGACCUUGAAGGCUUGAAGGAUGUUAAUCAAGUUACCUACUCAUUGAUCCAAGUCCACGAGGAGCCAAGUGAUGGUUGUUAGUUUGGGCUCUAGCCCGCUAGUUAGUCUUUGUAGUUUUUCCAAUUAAAGGGAGUCGGCCAACUGUUGGGCCUUUUUAGUCUUGAGCCGUCAGGUUAUUGUUUGGAUUAGUCACUAGUUGUAGGGCUUCUUGAGCCAUGGAUUCGGCCCACCUUGUCAAGCCUGGCCGAACCUUUAUUUCCUUUUUACUAGCAUUAGGGUUUCAUUAGUUUGCCUAUAUCAAGGCUUGCUUUGUAAACAUUAGGGGGGACGUUUUAUCAAUAAAGUUUGUUAUUUUUCGAUUCUUCUUCUUGAGAGAGAAUUCGAGCCUUUCACUUGCUUUGGCAAGGGUGUUGAGCAAUCUUGCAUCUUGUCCCUGAUUGUUCUACCGACCUAUUUCCCUGGAGUAUUCACCUUCAUCGGAGUGUCGUCUACCGCCUUUAGUCAAAUAGUGCCGUCCGUUUGAUUCUAGGUUCCGCAACCCAAGCGUUGGACAACCUCGCUAGAUCCUUGGGCAAACGUGCUACGUGUCUCGAAACUAGUUGAUCGAGAAACGUAUCAGGAGAGUAAGAGGGUUUGCACAGGGACUCAAUGUGAAAAUACAGGAGCCUUAGCGGCAGCACAAAUUAAUACUUUUACGGAGGUUCUGGAGAAAGCCCAGAGAAUAGAAAUUCCCAGGGCACAAGUAAGGGCUUUUCACGCAAAACGGAGAGGUGCGCCUGGUGAAAGUCAAGGGCAGAAACAAGGUGAUCUAGGUAUGCCACCCUCUAAGAUGAGUCGAGGAGAUUGUGGUGAGGAAAUUUCGGGGACACCUAAGGGAAUUACUUCAAGAGGGGCCUCAGGUGGAAAGGGGCAAGCAAGAGGUGCCUCGCAAGGAGGUCAGACCCCAGCCCCUCGAGUAUUUGGAUACUGUGGGAAAUCCAACCACACAGAAGAUAAUUGCUGGCGAAAGGCUCGAAGGUGUUAAAGGUGUGAAGUACUGAGCACCAGAUCGCCAAUUGUCUAGUGAUCAGUGAUACCCAGCCAGCCAACACAUCAAACCCUAAAAAAAACCGAAUAGAGGAGGGGAUAAAUCCAGAGUGCCAGCUAGAGUAUAUGCUUUAGACCACCAAGGUACAAUUCAUGUUUUCCCUUGUCUGGCCGCAUGUUUGGCCAAUGGUGAGUUUUGGGAGCUAAAGAAUGACAUGCAAGAAAAUACCAUGAGCUAUUUACUGAUAUAUGCAUGAAUUUCGAGGACGAAAUUCUUUUAAGGGGGAGAGAGUGUGACGACUCGUCAAAAUUCCUUAUAUUUUUCUUAAAAAUUCCCUUUUAUUCGAACUUUAUUACUUUAGACUAGUCUUACAACUCAAUCACCCCACAAUAAGUGCAAAUGAACAUAGAAUUAAGGGUUUUCCCUUUCGUUUUCAAGUUAUCGCCAAUUAGGGUUUUUUUUUACGCCUUUUUGUAGUGUGACUAUUCGGUACGGAGUGUGUAUCAAAUUUGGUGAUUAAGAGUGAGUUUUAGAUGAUAUUAAGUGUGUGAUUAGAAGUGAUAAUAAUAAGUUAGUAAAUUAUAAGAUAAAACCCUAGUAUACGCGAUUUAAAAAAAACAGGUUGAACCGACGGGUACCGUUUGUUACCGAGUGAGUGCACCACUUGAACACUACUUUAUUACCUUAAUCUCCUUGCUAUUAAUUGAUUAAUAUCAGCCCCAAAAUAUCCUCAAGGCAGCCGAAAUAUUGGACCAAAAAUAAGAGAGAAAAGAACAAAAUUUGACUACCAAUCAAAGUGUGACACUUGUCACCUUUGACCCAAAUUCAUUUCUAUCAUUUUAAACCUUCUUGAAGCUUCAUUUGAGCCUUCAUUUUCAGCCUAGCAGCCGUGAGAGAGAGGGAAAAACAGAGAAAAAGAACUUCAAUUCCAUCUUGGGUUUUGCUUGAUUGAGUGAGAAAACAAGAAAACUAAACCGAUUAAACUUACCUUGUGGUUUUGGCAAGCUUUGUGUGGAAAAAUAUUUGGAAGAAAGUGGUGUGUUUCUUACCUACAAAGGACCUUUGGAAGGUACCAUGGCUGCCUAUCCCUUUUGAUACGGUCCUCGAUCAACUUGUUUCGAGACACGUAGCACGUUUGCCCAAGGAUCUAGCGAGGUUGUCCAACGCUUGUAUUGCGGGUCCAAAACCAACACGGACGACACGAAUUGGUUGAAGGCGGUCUGGAACGACGACUCCAGUUGAGGUGAUUACUCAAGGGGAUAGGUCUAGAACAAUCUAAGACCUUCGCAAGAUUGCUCAAGCCCUUGCCAGAAGCAAGUAAAGCUCGAAAUUCUCACAAGGAAGAAAGUCAAAAAACUAAGUAAUUUUAUUCAUAAAAACAUCUAUCCCAAAACCUUACAAAGCAAGCCUUUUUAUAGGCUAUUGGCUACUAAAACCUAAGGAAACAGGGAAGGGAAUUCGGCCAUCUUGGGAUCAAGAUGGGCCGGCCCAUGUUCUUACUAGAACAACUAAUCUAACUCUCAACUAAACACUAAGGCCUAAGGCCUUAUUCGGCCAACUCGCUUGGAGGCCCUUCAUGGGCUUGGAUCAUGUGUAGAAACUUGAUUGUCUCCUUCCAAGCCUUCAAUAUCUCUAUGACUCCAUGUUGGUUGGACAAUUUGAACAAGAGUGUGAGAACCCUAAAAAUUUCACAUUUUCUCAGCCUUUUGUUUAUUCUCAUUCCCCUUUUUAAGUGAAAAUUUGUUAACCAUUUGUUUUAAACAAAGGAAGGUUUUGUUAUUACGUGUAUUUGUGUGAGAUAUAUGUAUAGAUUUGUACGUGUUAUUACGUGUAUAUUCGAUGUUCGUACUCUUUUUUGAGAUAGAAAUGUAUAUAAGUUUCGCUUUAAGUUUUGGAUUGUUGCUAUGUUUAUUCCUAUGGUUUUAUUCCGGUUUUAAUUGAGGACUGAAGUGAACAACUGAGUCCCGGCGAGAGUUGGGCAGGCGGUCCGCCAAACCCUUUGGUACACCUUAGGGGGAGGUGAGGCUGUCACAGUUGGUAUCAGAGCCUGCUUCGCGUGGUCUUUGCGCGGAGUGAGCUUGGGCUAAGUGGUGAAUAAGUAUGAAGGGCUAAGUGCUCAUUUGAGCAUAAGUUAUGAAUCAUGAAUUGUUAUAGGCCUUAAAUGGUUCUUAUGAUAUUUGAGGACAAUAGAUAGGUACGUCAGGUGGGAAUCUCGAUUGUAGAUAGUUUACUCUUGGGACUGGCCAGCUCGAGAGGUGAAUUAUCUUAUUUCGGAUUCUCGUGCCCAAGUACUCUGGAAUUGAGGCGAUGCUAAGUACUUGAGACCUGCAUUUUGGGAACAUGAAUAGGCUUCAUUUGGCUAGAAAGAGUACAAGAGGUCAACAGACGUCUAGUUGGAUAGAAAGUGACGUGAGAGACCGGACGGGGUUAUUUUAACUGAAAUCGGGACGACAUAUUGCCUUUUCUUUUAAUUCGCCCUUAUAUCGUUACUACAUGACGUUAGUUUGUGUAUUUGUGUCUAUGAUUACCUGUCUAAUUUGAUAUGUAUUUGUGUAUUUGACCAUCUGUUUUCUUGAUAUAUGGUGUGUUAUGUGUGUAUAUGUCUAUUGGUAUAGUGGUGUGCUAGAAUUUAGUUACUUUAGUUAACUUACUGCAUUUAUUCAUUAAAUUACCUUUUGGAAAAGAGAGAGAGAGAGAGAGAAAGAAGGGUAUGGAGGGAAGACGUAGUCGCGGACGUGGUCGUCGCCGUGGGACUAAGCGAGCCCAAGAGCUAAGAGAAGAAAGGGAAACAACAGUUGAACAAGAACAAGGACCGAGGGUUGAAGCCGGGACCAAAUGGCGACGGUAAUUCAACAAAUGACAAACAUUUUAGCAAGGUUGGUGGACCAACAAGGUCAAAUACCUGUGAAUCAACCCAGAACCCUGAAAUAGAAGAAGAUCGGGCUCUUGAGAGGUUUCAAAAAUUUGUACCUCCGAAAUUCCUUGGAGGGCCUAAUCCGGAUAUAGCUGAACAGUGGCUGGAGGCCAUGAUCAACAUCUUUGCGGCUUUAAAUUAUACUGAGCAAAGACAAGUGAAUUUUGCGGUGUUUCAAUUUGAAGGACCGGUCCGAGUAUGGUGGAACGUGAUUAAAGCAAAGUGGGAAAGAGAACAGACUGCAUGGACAUGGGCGAAUUUCAUAAGAGAAUUUAAUGAGAAGUACCUCCCACCUUUAGUCCAAGAAAGGAGAGAGGAGGAGUUUAUUGGGCUACGCCAGGGAACCCAAAGUGUUUUUUUUUUUUUUCCAAAAGGGGAAAAUUCCCCAACUUUUAUUAAUUGGAAACGCUAAAAAUACGAAGGAGGGAAAAGUCCCAACCUUCAAUACAUGCCAGAGAACUAGGAGUACUAUUCCUAAACAUUAAAGUUACGAAUAUAUGGAUAACCUAUUGCAUCCAAAUUAAUCAACGACCCAAAGUGUGGCCGAAUAUGAAACAAAUUUACCAAUUGUCUAAGUUUGCUUCCGAAUUAGUGGCCACGGAAUAGAGAAGGGUGAGACGGUUCAUACAGGAAUUGAAUUUGGAAAUUUAAGAAGCUCUAGCGGCGGUGCAGGUUAAUACUUUCACGGAAGCCCUUGAGAAAGCCCAAAGAAUUGAGGCUGCGAAAGCACAGAUAAAAGCCUCCCAAACCCGAAAAAGGGGUGCAUCGGGUAGUGUGUUUGAGGAACUUAGUGACUCAAUAGCACCUUCUAAAGUGCAAAAAGGGAACCCUUUACCCCGCCCACCAUGGACAUUAGGGGCGUUCGAUGAAGGGCUACAAAAGGAAGUCAAAUCGGACAUGGAGAGAUAGCUCAAGAAAGCCAAAAUGUGGCUUCUCACUUGGUCUGUGGAUACUGUGGGAAGGCAAAUCAUGCCGAAAGCGAUUGUUUGAGAAAAGGGCGGAGGUGUUUGAUUUGUGGAAGCGGUGACCACCAGGUUGGCAACUGUCCAAGGAAACAGUCACGUGAAAGUAGUACUCAGCAACUGGGAGGAACCAAAUCAAACCAGCAAAUGAAAGAGGGAACCGAACAAGUGUACCGGCAAAAGUGUAUGCUUUAGAUAACCAACAAGUAUUGGACUCGUCUGAGGCAAAUGAAGGUAAAAAUUUCGAGGACGAAAUUUCUUAAGGGGGAGAGAGUGUGAGAACCCUAAAAAUUUUCACAUUUUCUCAACCUUUUGUUUAUUCUCACUUCCCCUUUUUAAGUGAAAAGUUGUUAACCAUUUGUUUUAAACAAAGGAAGAUUUUGUUAUUACGUGUAUUUGUGUGAGAUAUAUGUAUAGAUGUGUAUGUGUUGGAAGUACGGAUGAGCGCGGCAAUUGAAUUAGGAAAAGAAGGAAAUUUGUGAGAAAAGUGAAGGGCCAAAUCCGGCAGCAAAUCCGGCCAAGAUUGUUGAAGGGUUUUGAAAAAAAAAUUAUUCUCCUCUGCCUGGAAUCCGACCUGGAAUCCGGCCGAGAAUCUGGCCAGAAACCGGCCGGAUUGUGACGUGUCACAGGCGGCCACCAACUUUGACCGCCUGUUUCCUUCCUUUUUAUACUGUUUUUGGCCCAAAAUGUCUUCAUUUCUUCCUUAGCUCAGCCGUGCACCAUAGAGAGAAGAAAGAAAGCUCUUCAUUUCCUCACUUUAAUUUUCACUCAAAUCUUGAGAUUUCACCGUUGGAUUUUCAAACUACUCCGUACAAGGGCUAGCUAAGAAGGGUUAAAGGUGAUAGUGGAGUUGUUUUUGGAAGGAAAGCUUUAAGUUCCUACCUUUCUUGAGUUAUAAGGUGAGUUGCUUAGAAAGUUCCUUUUUUAUUUUCCUAAUGGUAUAUUGGUGGAUUGUAAAGGUUAAAGAUGCUAUUUUGUGGUUGGUUUCAUGAAUUUAAGUGGAGUUGGUCCAAUUUCUGAUUUAUUGGAAAUUUUUCUGAUUUUAUAUGAUAAUCAUGGAUUGUCCUUGGAUUGAUGGAUUGAGAUGGUGUUAAAUGGAGCUUUUGUGCGUUAAUUGCGAUUGUUUGUGGACAAUUUCCGCUCGUGGGAUAAAUUCCGGUUCUAGGGUUUUGAUUUGGGGGUUUUCAUAUGGUUGGCUUUUAAACUUCUAAUUAGCUUUGAUUGAAGGAUAUUAUGGCCUAAUGCUUGUUAACCGUAUGUGUGAUUGUGGUUAAAUUGCUGUGAGAAUUGGUUUUUGGAUUAUAGGGUGAAAGUGAAGAAUUUAAGGGGAAAUGCCGUCCGUUUAUUUUCUUGUAAUAUGAGUGAGUUAAAGUGGUUUUGGAAAUGUGUUUUGUGUCAAGUUGGGCGUAUUUCAUAGAAAACUACAUUGGUGCUCGUGAAGGGUGUUCGAGAAGCUACGUUCUAUUUAAAAUCCUAUAUUUCCGCUUGGUGAAUAUCAUGACCGUUUUACCAUUUUAAAACAUGAUACCUCUUCAAUUUGAAACUCCAAAUGUUUACUUACUCCUUUCCAAAAUAAAAAGGUAUGAAUAGGGUUUUCUCGGCUACGAGAAAACUACUUUCAAGUGAGGUUUUAAAUGUGAAAUUACGGUUUUUUGUCCUCCUUCUCACGUGAUUUUCAUCACGACAUUUGUAUAUACUGUUUAAUUGAUUAUAAGUUGAUUUUGAGUCACAAAAACGAUUCAGAAAGAAUAUUUCCUUAGCCCUAAUCUAUUUGGAUACUGAUUGUCUUUGCGUCCAAGUAUUUUCCGUUGGAACUUUUAUAACCCUUUUGAGUUUAGUUUACGUUUGUUCGUGAAACCUUAGUUAUUCCCGUCUUCAGAUCCAAAUACCCUCUUUCACUUGAAGUCAUCUUUAUACGUUUUACUCGUAGUUAGUCGGGUUUCUUCGAUUCACUUAAUUGUUUUGCUAGAUAAACUGUAAUAUUAUAUUCUCGUUUAAUCUUAGGUUUCAUUGGUGACUGAGGGUAAUAUCCGAAAGGAUAUUUUGGACGUUAUUUUGCAUAACUAGGUGAGUGUUCCUUGUUGUUAUACUUUUCUUGACUUCAUGGCUUGUUGUAAUUGUUGAUAAUGUGUUAAGUGCUCUUAAUGAUUGCCAAAAUGAUGUUUUCUAGGCGAGUGUGUACUUUAUCGCACUCAACCUAAAUGAAUGUGAAAUUUUCAAAAACGUUACUUGUGCAUGAAUGUUUGGCUGAACUGGGCCCUGCCCUUCGUUACUAAUCGACUCGAGCCAGAAGCGGACUCGGUCGGGCGAUUUGGUGACCCUGGGUGAAUGUUUGGUAUACUCGAGUAUUACCUUGUAGUCUGGUGGAGCCUGGCCAACGUCCAAGAGGGGGUGAAUGAAAUGAACGAAUGAAUGUUAAUGCAAAUGAGGGGUUUUACAGAUUUUGUGUUCGGAUGAACAGUAACGUGAACAGUACGAUGAACAGUGACUUUUUUUUUUAAACAAGGCAGCGGACAAAACACAAAAACCCUACGACACAACUACGAAAAACAAGGAUAUAACGAAAGAUACCCCCACCUAAGCUCUGAUACCAACUGAUACGGUUCUCGAUCAACACGUUUCGAGACACGUAGCACGAUUGCCCAAGAAUCUAGCGAGAUUGUCCAACGUUUGGAUUGCGGAACCUAGAACCAACACGGACGACAUGAAUUGGUAGAAAGCGGUAGAACAACGACUCCAAUCGGGGUGAAUACUCAAGUGGAUAGGUUGGACGAACAAUCAAUGACAACACGAGAUUGCUCAAGAACCCUUGCCAAAAGCAAGUAAAGGAACGAAAUUCUCACAAGAAGAAAAUCGAAAGAAGACAAAUUUAUUAAUCAAUCGAGUCUACCCUUAAUGCUUACAAAGCAAGCCUUUAUAUAGGCAAACUAACGAAACCCUAAUGCUAGUAAAAGAAAAUAAAGGUUCGGCCAGGCCUUGGACAAGGUGGGCCGAAUCCAUGACUCAACAAGCCCUACAACUAGUAACUAAUCCAAAUAAUAACUUGACGGCUCAAGACUAAAAAGGCCCAACAGUCGGCCGACUCCCUUUAAUUGGAAACACUACAAAGACUAACUAGCGGGCUAGAGCCCAAACUAACAACCAUCACUUGGCUCCUCGUGGGCUUGGAUCAAUGUGUAGGUAACUGGAUUAACAUCUUUCAAGCCUUCAAGGUCUCUAUGAAAGCCUUGAGCCAAGGCCGCCAUCCAUCUCGCCAUCCGUGCACACAUCAUGAAGUCAGUGUCAUGUGCAUAUAGGUCCUUAAGCAUUUCAAAUCCUAACAACUUAGCAUCAAGCACAGCAAGCAAGGAAUGUCUACGUGACAAAGCAUCAGCUACCACAUUCAUUUUGCCAGUUUUGUUCUUAAUGACAUAAGAGAAGGUAUCAAUGAAACUUACCCAUUUGGCGUGGCGCUUGCUCAACUUGGGUUGGCCCUUGAGAAAUUUCAAGGAUUCGUGAUCAGUGUGUAUCACGAACUCCCUUGGGCGUAGGUAGUGUUGCCAAGUCUCCAAUGCUCAUACAAGGGCGUAGAGCUCCUUAUCGUACAUGGGGUAGUUCAGGGCAGCACCUCCUAGCUUCUCACUAAAGAAUGCACAAGGCAGCUGGUCUUGCAUGAGAACAGCGCGAAUACCUACACUAGAGGCAUCACAUUCAAUUUCAAAGGUCUUGUGAAAAUUUGGUAAUGCCAAAAUAGGUGCAUGUGUGAGUUUGUCUUUGAGGGUGAGGAAUGCUUGUUCUUGGGCUUCUCCCCAAUAGAAUUUGUCAUUCUUCUUGGUCACCGCAGUCAAUGGGGUAGCAAUGGUGCUGAAGUCUUUGACAAAUCGUCGGUAGAAAGCCUGCCAAUCCAUGGAAGCUGCACACCUCAUGGACGGAUGUUGGAGUUGGCCAUUGCUAGAUGGCCUCAAUCUUGGACUCGUCCACUUUGAUUCCCUGUGAGCUCACUACAUAUCCUAAGAACACAAGCUCGUUAGUACAAAAGGUGCACUUCUUAAGGUUUGCGUAUAAACGUGCCUGUCGAAGUGUCCCAAGAACUAAUCUCACAUGCUCCAUGUGCUCGUGUUCACUGCAACUAUAUAUUAGAAUAUCAUCAAAGUAAACAAUGACGAAUUUUCCAAUGAAAUGCCUAAAACAUGGUUCAUUAACCAUGAAUGUACUAGGGGCGUUAGUCAACCCAAAAGGCAUGACUAGCCACUCACAGAGACUAUGUUUGGUUUUGAAAGCCGUUUUCCAUUCAUCGCCUUCUUUCAUCCUAAUUUGAUGAUAGCCACUUCUUAGGUCAAUUUUAGUGAAUAUAAUAGCACCAUCGAGUUCAUCAAGCAUAUCAUCUAGCCUAAGAAUGGGAUGACGAUACUUCACAGUAAUAGCAUUAACGGCCCUACUGUCAGUGCACAUGCGCCAAGUACUAUCCUUUUUGGGGACAAGUACCACAGGCACAGUACAAGGACUUAGACUCUCUUUUACCCAACCCUUACCUAAUAGGCCAUCAACUUGCCGUUGAAGCUCCUUUGUCUCCUCAGGACCCAUGAGGUAAGCCGAUUUGUUGGGUAGUGGUGCUCCAGGAAUCAGGUCUAUUUAAUGCUGAAUCCCUCGAAAGGGUGGUAAACCAUCUAGGACCUCAUCAGGGAACACAUCCUCGAAUUCCUGCAAAAAAGCAACUAUACUCGAAGGCAAUGCCUUAUCGAGCUCAGCAACAUCUAAAAGCACAUGUUUGCAAAUCAUGAGAAGUACAGGUUGAUCAGAAUUCACAACUUUCCUAACAUCCUUAGCCUUAAUGAUCAUGUGAUACGGUCCUCGAUCAACACGUUUCGAGACAUGUAGCACGUUUGCCCAAGGAUCUAGAAAGGGUUGUCCAAUGCUUGGAUUGUGGGACCUAAAAUUAACACGGACGACACGAGUUGGUUUAAGGUGGUAGAACGACGACUCCAAUCGAGGUGAAUACUCAAGUGGAUAGGUCGGACGAACAAUCAAGGACAACACAAGAUUGCUCAAGAACCCUUGCCAUUGCAAGUAAUGGAAUUGUACUCUCAAUGUAAGAGAAACAAACAAUGUUUAUUAUCAUAAAACGGCUCCCUUACGUGUAUCCACUCGCACUCGUGUAUAUGGAUGUCACUCUAAUGGACUUACCAAAUACCUUUACCUUUGGGUUAGGUAGUUGAGAAAGGCCGCUCAAGUCUAAUAAUUGUCACCAAUUUUUUCCACAAGAGUAACCAAGAAGGUAAGACACAAAUGUGGGUGCAAAAUAAAGUGGAAAUGGACGACUUUGGAAGGCCAAUAAUGGCGGACAGAAAUGGAAGUGCGCCAAUGGGAACACAAAAGAAAGAAACCCUAACUUCCUAAAAUGUAGGAGAGUGUUCCUAGAAUGUAGGAGAGAAUGUAGGACAGUGUUCCUAAAAUGUAGGAGAGUAUCCAAGAAUGUAGGAGAGUAUCCAAGUGAGAACAAAGGAGUUAUCCAAGUGUUUUACUUAGUUUCCUAAAUGAAUUUGGAAAAUUAAGUAAACAACUUGGAUGAAGCAAGCAAUACUUGGACAGAUUUGAAACAAAGAAACCCUAGCGCAAAAGAAACCCUAGCCGCAAGUAGAAACCCUAGCCGUCGCCCCACUUGUUUUCUUUGUUACUCAAGUGAUGACUAAUGACCAAGACAAAUUUGGAAACACAACCUUACGGCAAAUUUUGGACAGAAAUUAUAGACAAACUAGACACAAACACAAAAGGGAUAACACACCAAUAGAUUUUGUGUUCGGAUGAAUAGUAACGUGAACAUGUGCGGUGAACAGUAACGAUGAACAGUAUCAUUUUUUUCUCUUUUUCUUUUGUAACAAGGCAGCGGAAUCAACAAAACUAAGACAAAGCUACGGAUAUAACGGAAGAUACCUCAACCAAAGCUCUGAAGCCAACUGAUACGGUCCUCGAUCAACACGUUUCGAGACACGUAGCAUGUUUGCCCAAGGAUCUAGCGGGGUUGUCCAACGCUUGGAUUGCGGGAUCUAAAAUCAACACGGAUGACACGAGUCGAUUUAAGAUGGUAGAACGACGACUCCAAUCGGGGUGAAUACUCAAGUGGAUAGGUUGGACGAACAAUCAAUGACAACACGAGAUUGCUCAAGAACCCUUGCCAAAAGCAAGUAAAGGAACGAAAUUCUCACAAGAAGAAAAUCGAAAGAAGACAAAUUUAUUAAUCAAUCGAGUCUACCCUUAAUGCUUACAAAGCAAGCCUUUAUAUAGGCAAACUAACGAAACCCUAAUGCUAGUAAAAAGGAAAUAAAGGUUCGGCCAGGUCUUGGUCAAGGUGGGCCGAACCAUGACUCAACAAGCCCUACAACUAGUAACUAAUCCAAAUAAUAACUUGACGGCUCAAGACUAAAAAAGGCCCAACAGUUGGCCGACUCCCUUUAAUUGGAAAAACUACAAAGACUAACUAGCGGGCUAGAGCCCAAACUAAUAACCAUCACUUGGCUCCUCGUGGGCUUGGAUCAAUGUGUAGGUAACUUGAUUAAUAUCCUUCAAGCCUUCAAGGUCUCUAUGAAAGCCUUGAGUCAAGGCCGCCAUCCAUCUCGCCAUCCGUGCACACAUUAGUCCCCUCCUCUUGACAAGGAUUUGUCCUCAAAUCUGGAUGGAGAUGGAUGAUACUAACAAGAGUUAGUAGUGUGACACCUCAAAUCGACAGUGCGCUUGGAGGUCAGCCACGUUGGGAACAAAUGAAAGGUCACGAGCCAAGUUAAAUGCCGUUUUGUCAGCUUCAUGAGGCUCUCAAACAAGGACAUGCGCCAAGAUAGGAAAGAGCUUGUGUAAGACUCGUGAAAAUUCCAGGUAGCAAUCCAAAGAUCUCUAAUCAGCCUUCGGCCAUGGAUUGUCAUAUUGUCACCUGGUUGUCACUGAUGUGGCACACCUUGCCUAUCUGGAGGUGGAACAUUGAACCAAUCGGGUUGCACUUCCCUAGAAGCACAAACCAGCGAGAUAAGACCAAUAUGCGGAUCUUGAUUGACACAUUUAUGGGCAUCACCCGACAUAAGUGGCAGCAAUGAGGUGAAACGCACUCCAUACGAAUCGCAUGAAUUUGUGCAAGUUGGGGUUGGUAAAGUAAGCUCGUGAUGACCAACUUUUGGACAUGUGAAGAAGCACGAAUGUGCACCACUUUUAGCAGGAAUAAGCACGAAAUCGGAUUGCAAGUCUUUAAUCAUAGUUGGGAAAUUUUGGACAGCGUUACAACCUACAAGCAACACGUUUCGAGACACGUAGCACGUUUGCCCAAGGAUCUAGCGAGGUCGUCCAACGCUUGGAUUGCGGGACCUAAAAUCAACACGGACGACACGAGUUGGUUUAAGGUGGUAGAACGAUGACUCCAAUCGAGGUGAAUGCUCAAGUGGAUAGGUCGGAUGAACAAUCAAGGACAACACGAGAUUGCUCAAGAACCCUUGCCAUUACAAGUAAUGGAAUUGUACUCUCAAUGUAAGAGAAACAAAACAAUGUUUAUUAUCAUAAAAUGGCUCCCUUACGUUUAUCCACUCGCACUCGUCUAUAUGGAUGUCACUCUAAUGGACUUACCAAAUACCUUUACCUGUUGGGUUAGGUAGUUGAGAAAGGCUGCUCAAGUCCAAUAAUUGUCACCAAUUUUUUCCACAAGAGUAACCAAGAAGGUAAGACACAAAUGUGGGUGCAAAAUGAAGUGGAAAUGGACGACUUUGGAAGGCCAAUAAUGGCGGACAGAAAUGGAAGUGCGCCACUGGGAACACAAAAGAAAGAAACCCUAACUUCCUAAAAUGUAGGAGUGGGUUCCUAGAAUGUAGGAGAGUAUUCCUAAAAUGUAGGAGAGUGUUCCUAAAAUGUAGGAGAGUGUUCCUACAUUUUAGGAGAGAAUGUAGGAGAGUGUUCCUAAAAUGUAGGAGAGAAUGUAGGAGAGUGUUCCUAAAAUGUAGAAGAGUAUCCAAGGGAGAACAAAGGAGUUAUCCAAGUGUUUUACUUAAUUUCCUAAAUGAAUUUGAAAAAUUAAGUAAACAACUUGGAUGAAGGAAGCAAUACUUGGACAGAUUUGAAACAAAGAAACCCUAGCGCAAAAGAAACCCUAGCCGCAAGUAGAAACCCUAGCCGUCGCCUCACUUGUUUUCUUGUUGCUCAAGUGAUGACUAACGACCAAGACAGAUUUGGGAACACAACCUUACGGCAAAUUUUGGACAGAAAUUAUCGACAAACCAGACACAAACACAAAAGGGAUAAACACCAACAGAUUUUGGGUUCGGGAUGAACAGUAACGUGAACAGUAACGAUGAACAGUAUCGGUGAACAGAAUUUUUUUUUUAUUAACAAGGCAGCGAACAAAACACAAAAACCCUACGACACAACUACAAAAAACAAGGAUAUAAUGAAAGAUACCUCCACCUAAGCUCUAAAGCCAACUGAUACGGUCCUCGAUCAACACGUUUCGAGACACGUAGCACGUUUACCCAAGGAUCUAGCGAGAUUGUCCAACGCUUGGAUUGCGGGACCUAAAAUCAACACGGACGACACGAGUUGGUUUAAGGUCGUAGAACAACCACUCCAAUCGAGGUGAAUACUCAAGUGGAUAGGUCGGUACACGAGAUUGCUCAAGAACCCUUGCCAUUGCACGUAAUGAAAUUGUACUCUCAAUGUAAGAGAAACAAAAUAAUGUUUAUUAUCAUAAAACGGCUCCUCUUGUUCGUAUCAUCAUGUUUUGCUUCCUAGUGGGUGGUUUGAUGGGUGAAUGGUCAUGCGUAACACUAGGUGUGCUCACUUGACCCUUGGUCGUUUGCUCACUUGUAGAAGUGGAGUUUUGCCAGGGUCGGCCGUCUUUUGCUUUCGCUUUUGACGGUCUAAGUCGCACUCCCUUUGCAAUUUUAAUUGGUCCUCAUAAACUUGUGCAGGUGUGAGUGGUGUGAGGACCUUACGUUUGCCAUCGUGCAAAAGUGUGUACUUAUUUGCCCUUCCAUUGAAUGUGACGUGUUUGUCGAAUUGCCAAGGCCUCCCCAAGAUGACAUGUGUAGCAUGCAUAGGUACUACAUCACACUACUUCAUCAAUGUAAGUACCGAUUGAAAAAGGAACGCGUACCUGUUUGAAGACACGUACCUCGCCAUCCUCACUUAGCCAUUGGAGGCGGUAGGGGUGGGGAUGUCUAGUAGUUGGGAGACCCAAGUUCUCAACCAUUAGCAAACUCGCCACAUUGGCGCAGCUUCCCCCAUCAAUCAUGAGACUACACACUUUCUCACCUAUUUUACAGCGGGUGUAAAAUAAGUUCUCACGUUGCAACUGCUCAUCUUCCUUGACUCGGGCGGUUAGCACUCGCCGUGCCACCAAGCAACCUACUUCUCCUUAUGUAGGAGAGCAAUCUUCCUCAGCCGAGUCAUCCUCCAGGCAGUCACCUUUGAUCAAUCCAGGCACCUCCUCACAAUCGUCAUCAUCGGAGAUUACGAGCCUCAUUUAUGUAUUUCAUUUACUGGGUUGUAGCGAGGUUUUACCCAGUAAAUGAAAUACAUAAAUGAGGCUCCACUACAAGUCGAGUGCCUCUCCAAGUUAAUUACCAGUACAAAGGAAUAAAAAUGUGACUUUUGAACAACAAGGAUAAUAGUUGGUCCUAGGGAUACGAACAACCCCAAAACCUUUCAUUUUUACCAAAAUACAACUCAAACUUAAAGAAAUCAAAUGGCCUAGAAAAUUGGACAGCAUUUUCCUUUAAAUUCCUUACUUUUCCAUCCUAAACUUAACCUCCAACAUUCAUUCAAAACAACCGCAAUCACACACACAAAUCAUAGGCUAUUAAACACACUUCCUUAGGGUCACAACACCCUUCACAUAUAACCAUUAGAUAGCUCUAUAAUCAAUCACAACAAAGCCCCAAAUUAGAAACUCUAAUUUGAAUUUAACCCCACAAGCGGAAAUUUUCCGUAAGCAAUCACAACUAGUACAUAUAAGCUUCAUCUUACACCUAACCAAGCUAUCAUUCCAUGGCCAAACGUUACUCAUCAUAUAAGAACAGAAAAAUCACCAAUAAAUCUGAAAUUUAUCAAAACUCUACUUUAAACCAUGAAAUCUUCCACAAAACAACAUACUUAACCACUAAUUUAUCAUUAUUAAAACAAAGAGGGAAUUUUCUAAGCAAAGUACCUUGAAACCUGAAGAAAGGUGGUAGUUUAGCACUUCCUCCUCCAAAAUUACUCCACCAACACCCUUAGUCUUCCUUAGUUAACAACCUUUAUGGAGUAUUUUGCAACUUACUUGGUUAGAACUCAGGAUUGAAGCAAGCUUGAAGUUGGCAAAUGAAGUUUUCUCUCUUGGUUUUUCUUCUCAAGAGGGCCGGCCAAGAAGAGGAAAAAUGGAGCAAAUUUUGGUUAAAAUUAGUUUUAGGAAAGGUAAGAAAGCUUUGGUCAAAGUCCACCUUUGAAUGGUAACACGACACGUGACACCUCUAAUGUUUAUCUCAUCCUCUUAUCUCCCAAUACUAAUUAAUCGAACUAACCUCUAAUUACCUUCUAGCAUCUUGUAAAAUAAUAUCCCUUAAUACAAACUUCAAUUAGUUGUCAAAAAUAUAUCGCAUUUCCCGGACUAGCGGGUCCCACGUCCAUAAUACGCUUCAAACUUAAUAUGAACUAACCUAAAUUAGGAAAAAAUGAUUUAAAACUCUACUCACUUAUAAAAUCUCUGGAAAAUCAAUAUAAUAGGGUAUAGUGAAGAAAAUGCAUGCGAGAAAAUAAAAUAAAAUAAUAUAAAAUAAAGAAAAUUUACGGGUCCUCACACUCUCUCCCCCUUAAAGAAAUUUCAUCCUCGAAAUUUUCUUAUCACUAGGAUCUAUCAGACAAGUCAAGGAUUGUACCUUCUUCGACCUCAGACGAGUCAAGGUCCUGAUGUUGCUCUAGGGAAUAUACCUGAUCUGGCACCUUCGGUCCAGUCCCUUCCCCUUGGACUGUCCAGGAUUGGUCUUGGUUGAUUGUUCGGUCCCUCUCCCUUCUCGCAAUAGAACUGGACAGUUAGCAAUCCGAUGAUCAGCGGUCCCACAACGUAGGCAUUUUUUCCCUUUCUUCCAACAAUUCUCCUCCGUGUGAUUUGGCCCUCUGCAAUAUCCACAGGGAUCACGGGAAACAGAGACCGAUCCUCCCUGUGAGACACCACUUGACACCCCGGUAGUCGUACUCCCCCGUUUCCGUUUUCAAUCUUAGGGGGUGUACUCUUAUCCUCUUGUUCCAAGCUACUCCCAGGAAAUCCCUUUUCUUGGCUUGGAAGUUUCUCAUCUGUAACCUCGCAUUUUCAACUCGCUGGGCUUUCUCCACAGCAUCACUAAAGGCACUAAAUUGGGCUACAGCCAGGUCUUUCUGAAUCUCAACAUUUAAUCCCUGGACAAAACGCCUUAUCCGUCUUUGUUCGGUUACAAUCAGUUCGGGCGUAAACUUAGAUAACCGGGCAAAUUGACUUUCAUACUCGGCUACGGUAUGAGUUCCUUGGCGAAACCGAAUGAAUUCAUCUUCCUUCUUUUCUUGGAUUAGAGGAGGGAAAAACUUGACGUUAAAUUCUCUCAUGAUGUUCACCCACGUCCUCGGUGUUUGUUCUCUCUCCCAUUUCAGUCUUAUGAUAUUCCACCAAGAACGGGCUGCUCCCUCCAGUUGGAAGACAGCAAAUGUCACCUGUCUCUCCUCAGUGUAGUGUAACGUGGCAAAAAUAUCGAUAAUCUUCUCCAACCACCUCUCAGCCACGUCAGGAUCUGGUCCUCCAAAGAAUUUUGGUGGGGGAGAACUUCUGAAAUCUUUCAAGGGCUCUAUCCUCGCCCUCUACAUUGUUACCAGGGUUUCUAGGUUGAGAAUUAAGAUUUUGGCCCUGGUGUUCCACUACAUGGGCUAGCAGAUCGGUCAUGCGCUGGAUAGCAGCGGCUACCUGAGCAUUUGGGUCGACCCUAGGUUCAGGAUUUGGUUCAGGUAUUAGUUUCCGGUUACUCCCUUCAUUCGAGGGUUGCCUAACACCACGUCCACGGCCUCGUCCACUACGGGUACCCUCUAUUGGAUUAACCAAUCUAGGGUCGAAGCGAAAAUAAUAUUAAAGAUAAAUAUAUGCAUGAACAGGUAACAAGAGGUACACACAGAUCAAAAGGCAUAUAUAUAUCUAACACAACUUUAUCAAACAAAUCACACGGUAACAGUCAGUCAGAUACAAGCAAAAGAAAAUUCUAUGAAAGUAUCGGCGGUCAUCAAAGGUACUAUAUACCAAUUAGGCCAAAGGUAUAAAAGCAAAGAACAAAAAGCUUUUUCCCUCUAGGGCUCCGUCCACAAUCUACGAGAAUAACACAAUUUAUAUCUUAGGCAGGGUUAAUCAUCCUUAGUGAUACCCUAACACAUCGCAUGAAGUUUCGUAGAAUCAAAUUUCUAGUUCGCCCAAGUCAUUUCUAACUAGGUUCUCAUCUCAUUCGUAUCCGGGUACAAGAAUCCCAAAUAAGAUAAUUCACAACUCGAGUCGGCCGGUCCCAAGAGUAAAUCACCCAUAUUAAAGAUUCUUACCUGACAUACAUAUCUAUUGUCCCUCAGUAUCAUAAUAAAGGUUUGAAACCUGUAACAUGUCAUGAUUCAUAACUUAUGCUCAAAAGAGCACUUAAUCCGUUAAACACAUUCACAAAUCAGGACCAUAAUACCACUUGACCCAAGCUCACUCCGCGCAGAGACCACGCGAAACAGCUCUGAUACCAACUGUGACAGCCCCACUGUGAGAACCCUAAAAUUUUCACAUUUUCUUAGUCUUUUGUUUAUUCUCACUUCCCCUUGUGAAGUGAAAAUGUGUUAACCAUUUGUUUUCAACAAAGGAAGGUUUUGAUAUUACGUGUACUUGGUGUGAACGAUAUGUAUAUACGUGUAUGUGUUGGAAGUACGGUUGAGUGCGGCAAUUGAAUUAGGAUUAUUUUAUUUCUUUGCCUACAUUUUAUACUUUCCUUGGAAAUAUUAAAAUUUCUAUGCAUUUUUACAAGCAAGUACAGUUUUAAAUUCAUUUUUCUAGUAUGAGUUAAUGAACGUUAAAUUUGAAACGCAUUAUCGAUGUGGGGCCCGCUAGUGCGAUAAAUGUGGUGAUUAAGAGUGAGUUUUAGAUGAUAUUAAGUGUGUGAUUAGAAGUGAUAAUAAUAAGUUAGUGAAUUAGAAGAUAAAACCCUAGUAUACGCGAUUUAAGGAAAAACGGCUAGAACCGACGGGUAACGUUCACUAUCGAUUGAACACACCACUUGACUACCACUUCCCUACCACCACAUACCCUUGAUAUUGUUGCAAAAUAUCUCCCUCAUCCUCAGCCCUUAUAGCCGAAAUAUUUGACCCAAAAUGCAAGGAAAAGAAAAUAAAAUUUUAGUUGAUUUUGGUGGUGACAAGUGUUGGCCACUUAUGGUUCCUUGACCAAGCCAAUGUCUUACCUUCUUAUCUUUCAUUUGAGUUCAUUCUUCACCAUUUUUUUUUUCUGUUUUGGCCGAGAGCAAGGAGAGGCAAGAGUGAAGAGAGUUUUCAAUUUUCAACCUUGAAUCCAACCUUUUGAGUGCAAACAAGAAAAACUAAACCGAUUAAUCAUUAGUUUGGAAGCUUGGGAAGCUUAAAGAACCAAAAAUUUCAAGGAGUAGUGGAGGAUCACUCUUGCAAGGUCUUGUCUUGAGGUAUAAUGGCUGAUCACUCUUUCUUUCUCCAUUAAUCAUGAUUAAGUUGGGUAUUAAUGUUAGAGUUGUGCUUGUGAUGCUUGUUUCAAAUGGUUUUGAUGAUUGGAGGGAGAAUAUUGAGUUAGGGUUUUGAUUUAUUCACUCAUAUUUCUUGUGGGUUAGGUGUUAUAUGGUGUAUAUAUAUGGUAUAUAAUCUUGUAAAGGAGAAAGUAGUGGUAAUUUUAAGGUAAAAAUGUGAAUUAUAGCUUGACUAUAACAAAAGUCCAGAUUUCUGGAAAUUCAAGCUUCAGUUCUGCCCGGUUCCAGUUUGUGAUGUUAGAGGCCGAAUUAGGCUUAGUAUAAAACAUGAAAGUUGUAGAGAAUUAUGUUUUACAGUUGCCUCCAAAAUUUCAGCUCAAUCGGAGCAACGUAGCCUAUGAAAAGACAAAAAUACCCCUCACUCUCAUAGGUUUAGUCCAGUGGACAAUUUUGAUAUUUCACAACACUAACCGUGUCUGUCCACCCUGAUGUGUACUGAAUUAGCCUUUGGCCGAAACACAAAAGUUGUAGUGCUAUAUCUUAGCUUUCCAAUGCCCCUAGAAUCACCUUGUUUGGACUUCGGUAGCUUGAGUUAUUGUCGUUUAUGCAUAAGGUGGUUAACAAGCCAAAUGUGAGAUUCUGGUUCUGUUAUUUGAGAUUUUGACUUAGAUACACUACAAAUUGGACUGAGUGGUCUUCAUUAAAGUUGUAGGUCUUUGUCUUAGCUUCGAAACGGUAUAAAUUUUACCCCAAUCUGAUAAGCGUAGCUUGGUUGUGUCCGUUACGUAAAACAACGUCAAAUCUGUCUUUUGUUUCUUGACUCAACCUUCAUUUCCGCACAUGCUCCUAGCUUGAUUUUGUACUUGUAUGACUUGGAGCCUAUGGAAUGGCUAUUGAAAUGAGAUGAUUUUGUAUAUGAAUUUGGAUUUGAUUGAGGAAAAGAAUGAAACCAUAAAUGGCUGGAAAAUAGGUAAAUACAAAGGGCGUGCUGCCCAAAUUUACGCUCGAGAACUAGGUCGAUAUACUUGCGACUUGAGUAAGGCUUGAGAGCGAAUACCACGUGAACCAUCUAGGGUAUUUACGUUUUCUUUGCCACUUCGACUCAAAUAGCGAUUUUAAAGUUUUACAAGUGAGUCUAAGUUUUACAAAUAUUUUACUUAUGUCCUUUGAUUUCAAUGUACUCUUUUCACUACCAAAAUCAUAUUUAUACUUUGUACUAGUACGUAUUCGACUUUUCUUUAACUCACUUACAUCUUUGAUGGUUGAAACAUAAUGUGUUCGUUUGAUUAUAUUAGGAUACCUUGGUGAUUGAGAGUGUUAUCCGGAAGGAUAUUUUGGACGUUAUUUUGCGUAAAUAGGUGAGUGUUCCUUGUUUGUUAUAUUUUUCUUGACUUCAUGGCUUGUGUUAUUGUUUAACAAUGUGUUAAGUGCUUUCAAGGAUUUUCAAAACGAGUUUUCUAGGCGAGUGUGUACUUUAUCGCGUUCGACCUAAAUGAAAUGUGAAAUUUUUAAUGAUUUAAUGAUUGAAACGUUACAUGUGCAUGGAUGUAAGCCUUUGGCUGAACUGGGCCCUGCCCUUCGUUACCGAUCGACUCGAGCCAGAAGCGGGCUUGGUCGGGCGAUAUGGUGACCUUGGGUGAAUAUUUGGUAUAUUCGAGUACUACCUUGUUGUCGGGUGGAGUCUAGCCAACGUCCAGGAGAGGGUGAAUGAAAUGAAUGAACGAACGAGGGUUUUACUUAUCGAAAUGCAUUUUCAAAUGAUUGGAUGAAUAAGGGAAUGAAAGGAGAAUGAACGAAUGAAUGAAUGAAUGGCUCCUUGUGAGCACGUAUCCUUUUAAUGAAUGUGUUAGUAUUGCUUUCCAUUGUAAAUGUUUCUUGACUUAUUGAUUAUUGAUGGUUAAUGUAUUGAACUUAUUGUUUGAUUAUGUGUUCGGAACCUCACUGAGCUUUUAGCUCAUCCAUUUAGUUUUGUUUUCCUUAACAGGGGAAGGCGAGCAAGGACGAGAGCUCGGUAGAGACUAGCCUAGACUAGUUUCUUUGAUUUUGUAAUGGUUCUCGCCCUAGUGCUUGGCACGGGCUGAAUGUAUGGUGAAUUGAGAACCUUUGUAUAUUCGAUGGUUGUACUCCCUUUUGAGAUAGCAAUGUAUAUAAGUUGUGCUUUAAGUUUUGGAUCAUUGUUAUGUUUAUUCUUGUUUAUUUUGGUUUCGAUUGGAGGAUUGAAGUGAACGACUGAGUCCGGCGAGAGCUGGGCAGGCGGUCCGCUGACACCUUUGGUUCGCUUUAGGGGGAGAUGGGGCUGUCUAAGGCGAACCAAAGGGUUCGGCGGACCGCUUACCCAGCUCUCGCCAGGAAUAUGGAGUCGAAUCACAUAAAACCUAUAUACGCGCGAUAGAACCAAAGAAAACGAACAAUUGGAGACCACCAAGACAAAAUAUAACUUACCAAACCAUAUGGUGAUAUGGAACUUUGAUGAAACACCUCAAUGCAAAAGGAAAAUGAAAACGAAAACGAAACGAAAAUGGCCACGUCACAAUCCGGCUUGUCGUCUGCAAUACGUGCAGAACUUAGGUAUUCAAAAGAAAGGAUUUAUUGCUGGCGAUCCAUAGACUAAAAGGCUUGCAAACAGUGCAAAGGGCAAUCUCGCAAGCUUCAGCUUCCUGUAUAGUUCUUCGCUCGGUAUGCUUUUUCCUAUUCUUUUGCAAGUCUUUCUAUAUGGUUCCACUCAGGGCAUUCCAUUGAUACGCUCGGGUUCGUUCAGACGAGGUGGAUAUAUAAGGACUUGACUCAUUGCCAUCGGUGAAGCCGGAUUGUGACGUGGUCAUUUUCGUUUCGUUUUCGUUUUCCUUUUGCGUUGAGUGUUUCAUCGAAGUUCCGUAUCACCGUAUGUUUGGUAAAUUUUAUUUGUCUUGGUGUCUCCAAUUGUUCGUUUUCUUUGGGUUCUAUCGCGCGUAAUAUAGGGUUUGUGUGAUUCGACUCCGUAGUCCUGACGAGAGUUGGGCAGGCGGUCCGCCGAACCUUUGGUUCGCCUUAGGGGAAGGUAGGCUGUCACACAUCCACAAAUAUCUUAAUUUGGUUCUUUUAGAUGCUGUGAUAGACAACAUCUAGAGGAAACCAAUGAAAUGAAAUUGAAGAAAUUUGGGACAUUUUUUGUCCCUUUUCAGCUACAAAUGUAGGAUUUAGAAGUUUAAAGGCUUUAUGAAUGAUGAAAUGAUAACAAAAUAUUUCUCAACUUGAAGGGAAACGUAUCUUUAUAAAUAAUAGAUGGGGGGCAUUUUAUGUUAGAAAUUUUAACGAUUUAAAUGGGCGUAUUUUGUCUAGUUCAAUGUUUCAAUUGAUCAUUUGCAGAGUGAACUAACAGAGGGGAUAAAGUGUUAAAAAAUAACGUUAGGGGUAAAGUACAAACACCAUAACCUUAGGGGGACUUUUUAUGAUUUUGCCUUGAUUGUUUCCCUCCAUCAACGCCGUCCAAUUACGUUGUUUAUAAUUACGCGUUAAUACGGCCUUUGACCGACAGCUGAACCACGUCCCACGUCCCACAUCCUCCCGUCCUUUCUCCUUAAGAAAAGCCAAAAAAGGAAAAACGAAAUCCAAAAUUUCGAUAAAAAAAAAAAAAAAACCUUAAGGCCAAUCUACCUAAGGGUUUUAAAGAUUACAUAUUUCUGUUCUGCUUUUAUGAAUGAAAUUGUGGGAAUUCAGAUGAGAUUUAAAUUCCGAGUAAUGUAAAUUACCUUGAUUAUUGUUAUAAGAAGCAUAAUCGGAUUGGUGAGAAGAAAUUAGUUGAUAAAGAUUGGGUAAUUAGAGAAGAAUUGUGCAGUGGUGAUGUACACGGCUAAUUGAUUGGGUUUGGCUUAGCCGUAGCUUCAAGUGCGUUUAUUGGAUCCAGCUUCAUCAUCAAGAAGAAAGGUCUACAGAGGCCGGCGCGUCAGGCUCACGUGCCGGUAUGCGCUCUGUUUUACCUAGUCAUUCCUUUUAAAUUUUUUUUUUCUGGUUUUCCACAUUGUCAGUAGUAUGGGUUAUUGCUAUUCUCUGUGUUUUUUGAUUUAUUCCUUUUAUUGUUGAGGAAGUAAAUUGCUUCUUGUCAAAUGGGCUUUACUAGUAGUUUUUUUUUUUAAUUUAAUUUUUUUUCUUGCAUUUAUUUCCUUUCCAGAAUAAGUCAACUUGCAACACGGGAUCUAGGAAUGUUGAUUUACUUGAAUGUUAAGAAAUUUAUGAUGUGAACUGUCGAUGUCUAGAUUUAAGGUGUAUUAUGCCUAACAUUCUACUUUGUCUUGAGAAUAUACUUUUCCUUGCAUUUCUUUUGUUAUGCUUCAAUGAGUGUUGAGCACAGGUGUUAGAGCUAUGAGGCUGGAUAAAUGAGCCAUAGUAGCAUGUGUGUGGACAAAUUUGUUGCAUAAGAGAAAAACUUGAGGAAAUGAAAUGUCUGUUUUGUUACUCUUGUAAAAAAUGAUCAGGGGAAAUUUCUAAAAUGGACGCACUUCAAAGCAAAAUAUGUAAGGUUGACUUUUGCUUAUUUAGUUGUAGAGUUAUCAACUAUGAAACUGUACUACUUCACGCAUCAUUUUUUGUGCAAGUUUGCUUAAAUGAUGUUUGAGGAAAAAUAAAGGAAAAUUGCACUCCAUUGUGAAUUUGGUUUUGAAAGUGCGCCUUUUUCAUAGUUUUACUGGAAGAGUUGUGAACCGUAAAUGGACAUGUUACUCAGUUACCAGUGAGAACCUUUGAAUGUUAUUCUGGUGUUAGUCAAUUAAUCAAGUAAAACAAUUUCUUGCUAAUGGUUUUGAUGGAGAUUGUUAACCUUCACUCUAUUUGACAAGUGUAAGGAUUGCUACUUGAGAUGAUGAGCCACGCAGCUCUGUGGAGGCCCCUUUCUUAUUGGGAUAACAAUAUUUCUCUAGCUGGAACAGUAUAAUCAAAAUACUUGCUCAAAAUCUGAUGUACCAAGCUCCUUAGUGAAAAGGAUGAGUCUGAUACGACAUAUUUGACAAGGGCUGGCUUCUGCUGGGUGCAAUGUCAUUUGCUUUGCGGGGGUCUAUCAAGAAGAUAAUAGGGUCCAACAUCUUGAUACAGCAUCUUAUAUGUUGUUUAGGUUUUAUGGACAUUGAAGAAAUUAACCACAUAUCUAGCUACUUAGGAUGUUUGCCUUCAAUAUUGUUCAUUACAAUAAGAUAGGCAAGAUUUUGGAACAACCAUGAUAUCACACACUCAAAAGGAAAAACCAAAUCGAAAGUAGUAUGAAAAUUUUAUCGAAGUUUGAUAGUUUUCACUCAAUGUUAUCAUUAUCUCUCUCUCUCUCUCUCUCUCUGUCGACUUAUAAUACUGAUUUCUUUUGCAUGUCUAGGAUCUGGAGGCCAUGGCUAUCUAAGGGAGCCACUUUGGUGGAUCGGCAUGAUUGCUAGUAAUUCUUUUUGUGGUUCAGACUUACUAAUCUUGUUUAUCUCUGCAUUUAAUGUUAUUGAAAGGACACAUUGACUGAAUAUUUUUUGUAAUAUCUGGCAGUGAUUUUUGGUGAAUUUGCCAAUUUUGUGGCUUAUAUUUAUGCUCCUGCGGUGCUUGUGACUCCACUGGGAGCACUGAGUAUAAUUGUAAGGUAAAGUAUCACUUUCAAGUGAUAACUAAAAAACUCUUACCAGUGACUUCAAGUGAUGUUAAUAUUUCUUCUGCCCACGCAGUGCUGUUUUAGCACAUUUCUUGUUGAAGGAAAAAUUGCGAAAAAUGGGAAUAUUGGGGUGCAUCUUAUGUGUAGUGGGCUCCACUGUCAUUGUGCUUCAUGCACCAGGAGAGCAUGAUAUUAGUUCGGUUGAUGAGAUUUGGGAACUUGCAACCAACCUGGUAAAGAAAUUAGUAUAACUACUACCACUUAAUAUGAUUUCUUCCCUUAUCUAGACUGGUUAAAGAUUUUUCCUUGAUAAUCUUGUUUUAUUUCUCCAGCUUUUGUUCUCUACGCAGCUUCAGCAAUUGCAGUGGUAUAGCAUUAGUUUUGUAUUGUGAACCACGAUAUGGGCAGACCAACAUAAUGGUAUACAUUGGCGUAUGCUCCAUCUUUGGUUCCUUGACAGUAAGUGUCUCCAUUCUUUUUUCUUUUGGUGCCUCUGGGAUAAUAGGACAUAUAAAUGUAGAAGAAGUGAUCAUUCUCUUUCUUCUUCAACUUAUCUUUCGCUUUGAUGGAGCUCCCCUGGAACAAGAGUUAAAAAUACUAGUGACGAUUAUUCAGCAUCCUUUUAGAUGGUUAAACUGGACUAAACAUAUUAUCAUUGUUCAAAGAUUCUCAUAAAUACAGGAGUUAUGUGCGAGUAUGUAAUGCAGAGUAUGUUGUCUAGAAACAUUUGAGCUCGCAGAAGAAUUGUGAGGCUUAUUUGACUUAUGUAUCAAGUUAAAACGCAGAAAGCAUCUGUUGACCUGAUUUCUUUGAUCAGAUUGUAAAAUGUGAAUGUAUUAUGGAAAGGACAACUUCAACUUUUUGCUUUUAGAAUAUAGUUACUGAUAGCAUACAUUUCUUCCAAAAAGUCUUCAUUGUCACCUAGUAUAUUGCCAGCUUUCUGGCCUACUCUUUCUCUCUCUCUCCCCCUCCAAUGUGUGUGUAAAUAUAUAUGUAUCUGCCAGAUUUUCUCAGCAUAUUAAUAAGGACAUAGUUCUUUUUUAUAAUUCUAACACCAAUAAAUUUGACAUAUGUUGCAUUUCAUUGGCUUUUAAUCUAUUAUAAGUGAUCAAUGAUUUGAUGCUUCAUAGUGCUGUGCCUUCGCCUAUCAAUUCCUGCACAGGAAGAGGAAAGUAAAUGGUGGUCUGCAAAACUAAACCUUUUGGCCUAUUAUGUAUGUUUUACAAAAAAGUUAGCAGCAUCCAAGAGAUGUAGCCAACCUUCAAGUGUAAUGACCUUCUUGGUGGGUGGAGAUGCAUACAUUUCUUUUUCUGGGAAACAGUUGGCAUACACAUUAAUUUCUUGAGAAGUUGUAUGGGGAAUCAUUCUUCCUUUGAGCAGUGCUCAAGUCAUGCCGAUUAGAAGUCUAAAGAAGAUCUAGGUUCAAAUUGUGCGUGAUUAGUUUUUUUAAUCAAAUAAAAUUAUUGAUUAAGUAACCUUUUUCAAGCCAUCACUGUUUUUUGAAGCUAGUUGUUCGAACAUGCAAAUUGAUUUUGAACUCAAGCUGGAUGGUAAAUAUUCAAAUGCUCAAGUUAUGGAAACAAAUUUGUGGAUUUCAAAUUUUUUACUAGAUCCUAGUAGUAAGUUAUGGUCAUAGUACUUAACUACUUUUUCAUAUCUAAAUUGUACAUUUUUUGUUUCCCACCAUGAAUCAAUCAGACUAGUCUUUUCUAGUAGUGGUACAUUCAUAAUUGCUAUUCUCAUAACCACCUUGAAAGUAGCGUACAAGGAAACAAAUUCCAAAUCAAGCAAGGCCUGAAUUGAAUUUCGAGUUGAAAUCUGCUAAUUUAAAUAUUGCUGUUUAACAAUGUAUAUGUGAAUGAGUUCCCAGUUUCCUUUCCUCACAGCUAUGAGAAGCUUUCAUGCACCUAAGUCAUUUUUCAGCAUACAGCUGUGACAAGUUUUCUCAAUUUGUACUUUAUGUUCUUUGCUACACUCUCUGGUUAAUAUCUAGUUCUUUCCCUUUUAACUCUUUUUGCCCUCUGAUUUAGUUAGUGGUUUUUUUUUGUUUAAUUUAAAAUUUUUUAUUUUAACUGGUUGAUAUCUUUGGUGACAAACUAUCAAAAUGAUUGAUUGUUUCUGAAUCUCAGAUUCCCUUUCUUUUGCCUGCAGCAUUUGAAGCUGAUUAUCUUGUACCUAUUGCAACUUAAGGUCCUUAAUUUAAAUGGUUGUGAUAAAAACUAUAUGAAUAUACUUCCUUCCAACUUUGAAUUUUAGCAUUUCUAAAUUUUUGAAAAUGUCCAGUUUGCUUGAGUGGAAGUGUACCAACCACAUGCACUAGCAUUCUGACUUCUAACAUUUACAUAGAUAAAAGAUGGUUGAAAUCUGUUUAAAGUGGAUGGGUGAAGAUUCUAUUUCCUUGUAAUUCCAGAUUGAGAAGAUUAUAAAGGAUAGUAGAACAUUUCUUAUGUUUUUUUAGAUGGGUUUGGGUCCAUCAUCACAGUUAGUAAGGUUGUGCGUUAGUAGGUGAAAGACAUGUAGUAUUUGUGGAAUGACUUUGGUUAAGAGUUGAUUAGUUGAUAAGACUUCUUGAAGUUUAAUAGAUGAUUCUUGUGUUGAAAGCAUGGUUUGAUGCCAUAGACUUAUGUACUACUGAUUUUAUUUUGCUCUAAAACCUAUCUUAAAACAUGAACCCUUCUUAUUCUUUUGAUAUUAAAUGUCUAUAACAUGUAUGCAAUAUUUCAGUAAGAAUCCUUGACAUGUAAAUCAAGUGAGAUAAAUUGACUUGGUAUACCUGCAAAACUACUCACUCUACUCAAGUUGCUUUCUCUGUUUGCUAAGCCCUGACUUGAAACAUAACUAGUUUUAGUGGUCAUAUUUGAUGGACAUGAUUAUACUCUGGAACAAAAUAGCUAAAAGAAAUUAUGUUGACAUGGAGUUGCACUUUUAUUUACGGGUUCAUUCCUGGCAUAUUUUAUGAUCUGCAGGUUAUGAGCAUAAAAGCAAUAGGUAUUGCUAUAAAACUCACUCUUGAGGGUUUUAGCCAGGCAGCACACUACCAGACAUGGGUAUUCGUAAUGAUUGCUGUAACAUGUAUAAUCACUCAGUUGAAUUACUUAAACAAGGUAUGUAAUUUCUUAACUGUAGGCUUUUCUCAAUUGAUGAUGUAUUUUAAUUCUUUGAGACAGCAGUAUAGCCUUUGAACCUGAAGUUUUUGUCUGAAGUCACUCAAACGGGCAAGAUUGAAAAUGAGUUAAUCAAGCAUACUGUUACAACCUGUUUAGAUACAAUCCUGAAGUUCAUUAAGCAGGCAAUAUGAAGGUGUAUGGCAGGGAAAAUAAUGUUGCUAUCUGGUCUGAAAAAUUUAAUGACAUUGAAGCAGUACAAUUUUCUAUGGGCUUGCUUCUAGUUCAGUUUCCAAUCUGCUUCCUUAUAUGCCAUGAUAGGAGAUGACUGAUACUUAGCUUUACAUGAUUCAUUUUGGUUUUCUAGUUGCCUUACCUACUGGAGUUGAAGACACAUAGAAGAGUAGAAGUUUCCCAAGUCUGUCUUUUGCAAGAAUGUUAUAUUCCUGUGAUAUGUGAUCAAACAGAUUGUAUUUUCUAAAUUUUGAUAUAGUCUUUUCUAUGUUCCUAACUAAAACCUUCUAUUUCAUUUAUCUUCUGUAAUGCCAGUGAUUAUUCACUUACUUUAGAAGUGCCUUUUCCCUGUGAUUCGUAAUGAAAACUUUUCUGGCAGAGCUCAUCUUCUGAAGAAUCAACAAUUACUGUCACCUAGGGCUCUAAACGAAACGAAUGGAAUUCAGCUUUCAAGCUGUCAAGCUCGAUUCAAAUUUUUGGCCCAAACUCGAGGGCUUGUAUCCUAAAUGAGCUCAAACUUAAGAUCGAGCUUGAUUCAAUUUAAUAUUCAAUAGGCUUGAGCUUGAUUUAAGAGCUCAAUAUCUUUAAUUUUAACAUUAAAUUUUCACUAAUACAUAGACAUAAGAAAUAAUAAAUGUAUAACUUUACAUAAAAAAUAAUAGAUAAAACAUAUGAAAAAUUAUUCGAGCCUUAAAGAGCUGAAUAUCUACAAGUUCAAAUUCAAUUCAAUAAUUUAAUUAAAUCCUAAUCCCUGCUCGAAUUUGAGCUCGAGCUCAUUGAAAUUUAAGCUCGAAUCGAGCCUUUAACAAAUCAAGCCUGAACUGCUCGCUAAGGGAACCACUUGUAACUGUUAUGCUUUCUGAAUGAAUUAAUGGCUUGAAGCAGAUUGUUGUUGUUAAACUGGAGAAAACAUAUGCAAGUUUAUGACUUUAAAAUGAUGUGUAUACAACUGGCUGAAAUUGGAAUUGGAAGGGUCUGUAGUAGCUUUUCUUCUUUGAUUGGAAUUGUAUCUUUUUGUCUUGUAUGGAAACUGGAAUUGGAAUAGUUAUACAACAGCUAAAUGUUGCUUUGCAGGCUUUGGACACAUUUAACACAGCAGUUGUUUCUCCCAUCUAUUAUGCCAUGUUUACAUCGCUCACAAUUUUUGCAAGUGCUAUCAUGUUCAAGGUAUGUGUGUUCAUCUUUAGCUAUGGAACCUUGUUCUCUUUGUAAAAUCUCUAGUGAGUUUAUCUGCUAUUCUAGGACUGGGCUGGUCAGAGUGCUAGCAGCAUUGUUUCUGUGCUUUGUGGAUUUGUCACCGUUCUUUCGGGUACAGUAAUUUUGCACAGCACAAGAGAUCCAGAGGCUCCGCCUGUUUCAGGUAAAUGGAUAAUAAACAAAAAUUCUUUGUCACAAUAUGAUAAGUAACCAAUCAUGUUGUUUACUUUUUUACUUUUUUUUUUACUUUCUUACAUGAUCCGAUAAAGAAGCAUGAAUAUCAUCAAUUGAGACUGACGUCCAAAUUAACUGCUGAAGUUGUAUAUCUCAUAUUCAGGUUGCAUUGUAUGCAUUUUAUUGCUCUGGUGAUCAUUUUCUUGCAGAUGCAUAUUCAUCACUUUCUCCUCAAAUAUCAUGGCUGGUCCAUGCUAACGGGGAAAUAUGGAAGCACAA